rnacentral:lncRNA from 1 species
CCUCCCCAACCCACACACCAUCAACCCCCAAACCCUCUCGCUGUGGCUUAGAGGUAUCUCUGACAACGUGGCACACUGGGAAGGCCUUCUUUCCUGCUACCAAUACAAAUGCAUUCUGAAUUUGAUAUUUCAUUAAAUGUAAAAAUACAGCCAAUUUGAAACGAGCAAAUGGAAAUUCCCAGGAGCCAAAAACAGAAAGAAAAAUCAGAGCUACCGCAGUGCUGUCCCUGCAGACAGAAUUUGGGAGAGGUACUCAUAGUCACCUCCUGUGAGCCUAUGCAAGCCAGCUCCUGCACAACCCUGGUUUUACUCCAGCCUUCUGCAGAAUUCCACAUUAAACAGGAUGAAGAAUAGGUUGUUAGCAGACUGAGGUACUUGGGGCAACAUUUCGUACACAACAGGAGGGAGAAACGACUCCAGGUUGUCUUGUGGUAGAGGAGAUUUUGCCUUGCAAUUUUACAUACUUAUGCUACGUGGAAGGCUGGGUGGCGUGACUUCAGAAAAAUGUUUUCUCAGGAAAGAGACAGAGAGAGAGAGAGAGAAAGAGAGAAAGAGAGAACCCACCUACCUGUUUUGCAAAAGUCUCAUGAAUCAUCCCUUCCUGUGGUCCUGCUCCCUGAGAUCCUUUCACCGCUCACAGUGGGCUACUUCUAAGAGCGUGCCUGGCACAGGGUCACUGAGAGCAUAGUCUUAAUAAAACAAUGAUGGAUGCU